AAUCAACGCUGGCGGCGCGCUUAACACAUGCAAGUCGAACGGGAAAGUGGAGCAAUCCAUGAGUACAGUGGCGUACGGGUGAGUAACACGUGGGUAAUUCACCUUCUGGUGGGGAAUAACUCUGGGAAACCGGAGCUAAUACCGCAUAAGCUCGAAAGAGGAAAGCAGCAAUGCGCCGGAAGAGGAGCCCGCGGCCGAUUAGCUUGCUGGUGAGGUAAUGGCUCACCAGGGCGAAGAUCGGUAGCCGGCCUGAGAGGGCACACGGCCACACUGGCAC
rnacentral:rRNA from 1 species